AAUUUACUCCGUCCGUCUCAUAUUAAGUGACUCCAAUUUAUCUAAAUAUAGACGUAUCUAUAUACUAAAAUACGUCUUGAUACAUGUAAUAGAAAGUCACUUAAUAUGGGACGGAGGGAGUAGUAA
rfam:Brachypodium distachyon strain Bd21 chromosome 5, whole genome shotgun sequence.